GGCCCAUUAGCUCAGUUGGUUAGAGCGUCGUGCUAAUAACGCGAAGGUUCCUGCAUGGGCCA
rnacentral:tRNA from 1 species